CUCCCUCCCCUCUUCAUGUCUAAGGAGUUGGACGUCCAUCUGGCAAAGGUCCAAGGCGUGGUGAUACCUGGAACAGGAAGGCUGUAGGACAUCUUCGACAGGCUGCUACUCCAACUUCAGAAGGAGUUCUGAAGUACUUUCAAAUCAAAUAGAGAUCUGAUUUUUGGAGCAUAGAUUUGUGAGGAGAAGAUGUUCUAUGUCCUACUCAAGUGGAUAUCAGUAGAGGUCAAGCGCUUAUAUGGCUACAUCAGAACCUCAGGCUG
rnacentral:lncRNA from 1 species